GAUUAGUGUUGGCAAACAGUUAAAGAUGUGGGUGCGUGUCCAUCCACACGGCUGAAGAGGACCCUAGUUGGUCCUAAAACGACCUGAGGUAGAGGGGUUUUAGUCGGUAGGUCCGAGGACUUCUUCCUCGGGAAUCCGACACUACCCAGUCGUACGGACGGCUGGGUGUCUUCUGAAGAUUUCCCCUCUUCCACGAAA
rfam:Agrilus planipennis Contig7668, whole genome shotgun sequence.